rnacentral:rRNA from 1 species
UGGUGGAGUGAUUCGUCUGGUUAAUUCCGUUAACGAACGAGACCUCGGCCACUAACUAGUCAGGCGUACUUUCGGGUACGUUCUGGCUUCUUAGUGGGACUGGCGGUGGGUAGCCGCCGGAAGUUCGAGGCAAUAACA